GACUUGUGUGCGCCGGAUGCGGCGAUCUGCGGCCAAAAGGUCGUUGCGAUCAGCCCGUCCUGGCGCCGUAAAAUUUGCAACUGAGUCGCCUCUGGUCUUAAUUGGUCGGUGGCGUCUGCUCGGUUGCUCGUUUACUGUGAGAAAAUUGGAGUGUUCAAGGCAGGCUGUAGUGCAACUGGACAUGUUAGCAUGGAAUAAUAAGAUAGGGCUCCGGGCUCGUAUUUUGUUGGUUCGUUGGGGUCGGGAGUAAUGAUUGAUAGGGACAGUUGGGGGUGCUAGUAUUCAGCGGCCAGAGGUGAAAUUCAUGGAUUCGCUGAAGACUGACUUAUGCGAAAGCAUU
rnacentral:rRNA from 1 species